UGUUAAGAAGGAGAUAUAACAAAAUCCAUUCUUUUGUCAAUGAUGAUAGUAAAAAUGCCGUAGAAUAUUUCUUCUUUAUUCUUUCAGCAUUUUCACAAUAGAUGGAAGGCUAAUCCAAUCUUAAAUUUAUGGAUCUUAUUAUUUUUCUUGGGUUAAUCUCAUAUGAGCAAAACAAUCAACUUUGUAGGGAGGUGAUGAAGGAAGAAAUUGUGGAGACUGUUCUAAGUUUGCAUCUAGAUAGAACUCUGGAUCUGGAUGGCUUCUCGACUUUUUUCUUCUAGUGCUUUAGGCCC
rnacentral:lncRNA from 1 species